GUCAAAUAAUGACAUUAAAUAAUACCCAAGUAUUCAUGCCAGUCAUUCUACUACUAUAAAUACAGGUGCGCACACAGCACUAUUCCUGCACUAAGCUGCGAUCCAGAGAGGGACAAAAAAAAUGAGGAGUCUAGCUUCUCGUGUCGUUUGUUUCUGCAUGAUCUCCUCGUUGUUCAUCUCUGCAUUUGCAGCCAGUCGUCAGCCGGCGAUCUUUCAAUCGGACUAUGCAGACGAUCCAAGUCCUGCUCCGACACCGCACCGACCUCAUGCGGCACCGAUACCGCCAGGUGACAGUCGUAUCUGGAUGAACAGCCAUGACGGCGGAACGAGUACGCUGCCCCGAGAUGCAGCGACCCCCUCUGCGUCAAGAUGAAAUGAAUCAACGAUACCUCAGACUUGGAUCCCCUGGUGGCCUGUCUGGGAGAUCUUAGUUUUAGGCACAAAACGGGUGUAAAUCACUGGCUAAAUAAUGACAAUAAUAUUUCCAGAGUUAAUUACUUAUCCGA